rnacentral:rRNA from 1 species
GAUGAACGCUAGCGGCAGGCCUAACACAUGCAAGUCGAGGGAGAAGCCCUUCGGGGCAGAAACCGGCGCACGGGUGCGUAACGCGUAUGCAACCUACCUUUCACAGGGGGAUAGCCCGAAGAAAUUUGGAUUAAUACCCCAUAAUAUUAUUGGAUGGCAUCAUUUGAUAAUUAAAAUUACGAUGGUGAAAGAUGGGCAUGCGUCCUAUUAGCUAGUUGGAGUGGUAACGGCACCCCAAGGCUACGAUAGGUAGGGGUCCUGAGAGGGAGAUCCCCCACACUGGUACUGAGACAGGGACCAGACUCCUACGGGAGGCAGCAGUGAGGAAUAUUGGUCAAUGGUCGGAAGACUGAACCAGCCAUGCCGCGUGCAGGAAGAAUGCCUUAUGGGUUGUAAAACUGCUUUUAUAUGGGAAGAAUAAAGGAGUACGCGUACUUUGA